GAUGAACGCUGGCGGCGUGCCUAAUACAUGCAAGUCGAGCGAACAGACGAGGAGCUUGCUCCUCUGAUGUUAGCGGCGGACGGGUGAGUAACACGUGGAUAACCUACCUAUAAGACUGGGAUAACUUCGGGAAACCGGAGCUAAUACCGGAUAACAUGUUGAACCGCAUGGUUCAACAGUGAAAGACGGUCUUGCUGUCACUUAUAGAUGGAUCCGCGCCGCAUUAGCUAGUUGGUAAGGUAACGGCUUACCAAGGCAACGAUGCGUAGCCGACCUGAGAGGGUGAUCGGCCACACUGGAACUGAGACACGGUCCAGACUCCUACGGGAGGCAGCAGUAGGGAAUCUUCCGCAAUGGGCGAAAGCCUGACGGAGCAACGCCGCGUGAGUGAAGAAGGUCUUCGGAUCGUAAAACUCUGUUAUUAGGGAAGAACAAAUGUGUAAGUAACUAUGCACGUCUUGACGGUACCUAAUCAGAAAGCCACGGCUAGCUACGUG
rnacentral:rRNA from 1 species